rnacentral:snRNA from 1 species
GGAUGUGAGGGCGAUCUGGCUGUGACAUCUGUCACCCCACUGAUCGUCAGGGUUGAUUCAGCUGAUCUGGCUGGCUAGGUGGGUAUCCCCUCCCUCCCUCACUGCUCCAUGUGCGUCCCUCCCGAAGCUGCGCGCUCGGUCGAAGAGGACGGCCUUCCCCGAAUAGAGAUGGACCUGUCUUCGGUCGAGGGUAUACGAGUAGCUGCGCUCCCCUGCUAGAACCUCCAAACAAGCUCUCAAGAAUAGGGAAUGGGACACGGAACUCUGGUGGUGGGAACGGUAGAAUUGUACCCCUGUUAUCUUAU